ACUGAGCAGGCUCAGUGGUAGAGCACUUGUCUAGCAUGCAUGAGACCUUGGGCUCAAUCCCCAGCACUGUG
rnacentral:tRNA from 1 species